AGUGGCGGACGGGUGAGUAACGCGUGAGAAUCUGCCUUGGGGUCGGGGACAACCACUGGAAACGGUGGCUAAUACCGGAUAAGCCGAUUGGUGAAAGAUUUAUUGCCCGAAGAGGAGCUCGCGUCUGAUUAGCUAGUUGGUGAGGUAAGAGCUCACCAAGGCAGCGAUCAGUAGCUGGUCUGAGAGGACGAUCAGCCACACUGGGACUGAGACACGGCCCAGACUCCUACGGGAGGCAGCAGUGGGGAAUUUUCCGCAAUGGGCGAAAGCCUGACGGAGCAAGACCACGUGAGGGAGGAAGGCUCUUGGGUUGUAAACCUCUUUUCUCAGGGAAGAAGCUCUGACGGUACCUGAGGAAUCAGCCUCGGCUAACUCCGUGCCAGCAGCCGCGGUAAUACGGAGGAGGCAAGCGUUAUCCGGAAUUAUUGGGCGUAAAGCGUCCGCAGGUGGCGAUUCAAGUCUGCUGUCAAAGCACGGGGCUUAACUCCGUAAAGGCAGUGGAAACUGAAUAGCUAGAGUGCCGUAGGGGUAGAGGGAAUUCCCGGUGUAGCGGUGAAAUGCGUAGAGAUCGGGAAGAACAUCGGUGGCGAAAGCGCUCUACUGGACGGCAACUGACACUCAGGGACGAAAGCUAGGGGAGCGAAUGGGAUUAGAUACCCC
rnacentral:rRNA from 1 species